UUAAUGCAAAUGUGUUGUCAGGUUUACUUAAAGUGUGAAGACUUAAUUACCUAUCAAGCUGUAGCUCUCUCUGAGUGGCCAUUGGUUGUUCACAAGCGUCCCCAUUGAGAGAGAUGGUGGUGUGAGUCAAGGGACAACGAUUAUGAGCGGACACUGAAGCAUCAUGACACUUCAUUAGCACAGAAUGAGGUAUGUGCUGUCAUGGUGUGGUAGCUAUAGUAGAUAUAAUAGUUUAAAGUGAUAGUUUAAGGUGUUGACUUUCACUGGUAUAUAGUUUAAGGUGUUGACUUUCACUGGUAUAUAGUUUAAGGUGUUGACUUUCACUGGUAUAUAGUUUACCGUGUUGACUACUCAGUUUUACAAGUAGAUUGUUUAACAUGCUGACUCUCACCGGUAGGUAGUUUAACAUGUUGAUAGUUUAGCGUGUUGUCCCUCACUAGUAUAUCUGUUAAAGCAUUGAAAGUUUAACAUGUUGACUUUCACCCGUAAAUAGUUUAACAUUCUGCUACCACUGGUAGAUAGUUUAACAUGCUGACUCUCACCGGUAGACAGUCUCUUCACAGUCAAGUAGCUCUCCCACACAGUUCCUGUUUUAGUGUUUUCUCUACUUCACUGGCAGUUCCCAAUUCAGCAUCCCAGGGUCUUGUCCAACAUAGUUUCUGCCAGUUCUGUUCAUAACAUUGUUACUUUGUAUAGAGGUAUAGCUGUGCUCUUCGUAGAGAUGUAGCUCUGUGCUCUGCACAGAAGUGUAGCCGUGUGCUCUGUGUAGUGGCGUAGCUCUGUGCUCUGCAUAGUGGUGUAGCCUUGUUCUCUGAGUUGGAAGUGUAGCUAUGUGCUAUUAGUAGAGUUGUAGAGAUGUGCUCUAUGUACAAUUGUAGCUCUGUGCGCUACAUUGAGCUGUAGCUCCCUGCUCUGCAUAGAGGUGUAGCUCUCUGUUCUGUGUAGAAAUGUAACAGUGUUCUUUGUAGAGGUGUAGCUCUGUGCUCUGCAUAGAGAUGUAGCUCUGUGUUCUAUGUAGAGGUGUAGCUCUGUGCUCUGCAUAGAGAUGUAGGUCUGUGCUCUUUGUAAAGGUGUAGCUCUGUGUUCUGUAUAGAGGUGUAGCUCGGUGCUCAGCAUUGAGAUGUAGCUCUGUGUUCUCUGUUGGUGUAGCUAUGUGGCCUGUGUAGAGGCAUAGCAUUAGGACUCUGCAUAGGGAUUUUGCUCUGUGCUCUGUGUAGAGGUGUAGCUCUGUGCUCUGUGUAGAGGUGUAGC